rnacentral:rRNA from 1 species
UACAGAGGUCUCAAGCGUUGUUCGGAUUCAUUGGGCGUAAAGGGUGCGUAGGCGGCGCGGUAAGUCGGGUGUGAAAUCUCGGAGCUUAACUCCGAAACUGCAUUCGAUACUGCCGUGCUUGAGGACUGGAGAGGAGACUGGAAUUUACGGUGUAGCGGUGAAAUGCGUAGAUAUCGUCUGGAACGCCAAAGGUGAAGACAGUCUGCUGGGAACUUGCUGACGCUGAGACACGAAAGCCAGGGGAGCGAACGGG